AACCUCCGCAAUGUGAGAAAUCGCGACGGGGGGAUCCCAAGUGCCAUUCUUAACGGGAUGGCUUUUCAUUAGUGUAAAGAGCUUUUGGAAUAAGAGCUGGGCAAGACCGGUGCCAGCCGCCGCGGUAACACCGGCAGCUCUAGUGGUAACAAUUUUUAUUGGGCCUAAAGCGUCCGUAGCCGGUUUAAUAAGUCUCUGGUGAAAUCCUGCAGCUUAACUGUGGGAAUUGCUGGAGAUACUAUUAGACUUGAGACCGGGAGAGGUUAGAGGUACUCCCAGGGUAGAGGUGAAAUUCUGUAAUCCUGGGAGGACCGCCUGUUGCGAAGGCGUCUAACUGGAACGGUUCUGACGGUGAGGGACGAAAGUUAGGGGCGCGAACCGGAUUAGAUACCCGGGUAGUCCUAACUGUAAACGAUGCGGACUUGGUGUUGGGGUGGCUUUGAGCUGCUUCAGUGCCGAAGGGAAGCUGUUAAGUCGCCGCCUGGGAAGUACGGUCGCAAGACUGAAACUUAAAGGAAUU
rnacentral:rRNA from 1 species